rnacentral:rRNA from 1 species
UACGUAGGGGCAAGCGUUGUCCGGAAUCACUGGGCGUAAAGCGCAUGUAGGCGGGAUAUUAAGUCAGGUGUGAAAACUAUGGGCUCAACCUGUAGAUUGCAUCUGAAACUGGUAUUCUUGAGUAUUGGAGAGGAAAGUGGAAUUCCUAGUGUAGCGGUGAAAUGCGUAGAUAUUAGGAUGAACACCAGUGGCGAAGGCGACUUUCUGGCCAAAAACUGACGCUGAGAUGCGAAAGCGUGGGGAGCAAACAGGAUUAGA